rnacentral:lncRNA from 1 species
CUCAGGUCCCUUUCCACGCUGUGGAGGAUUUGUUCCUUUGCUCUUUGCAAUAAAUCUUGGUACUGCUCGUUCUUUGGGUCCACGCUGCCUUUAUGAGCUGUAACACUCACUGCGAAGGUCUGCAGCUUCACUCCUGAAGCCAGGGAGACCACGAACCCAUCGGGAGGAAUGAACAACUCCAGAGGCGCCGCCUUAAGAGCUAUAACACUCACUGCGAAGGUCCGCGGCUUCAUUCUUGAAGUCGGUGAGACCAAGAACCCACCAAUUCCGGACACAGUUUCAUAAAUGUUCCAUACAUGCUUGAGAAUAAUAUAUAUUCUGUAGAAG